GAACGGGUGCAUAACGCGUGGGAAUCUGUUGAAUAGUUUAGGGCAAAUCUUGAAGAAAGCUAGAAAGCGCUAUUUGAAGAGCCUGCGUAGUAUUAGGUCGUUGGUCAGGUAAAGGCUGACCAAGCUAAUGAUGCUUAGUUGGUCUUUUUGGAUGAUCAGCCACGCUGCGACUGUGACAUGGCCUGGACUCCUAUGAAA
rnacentral:ncRNA from 1 species